AGAACAUGAACGAAAGAGAUAAAUUGAGAUAAUUAGCCAGACAUAAAAAUACAACAUCAGAUUAUAGCUAAAGUAUUAGCUUAUAUGGCAAUGAAGAUAGACCACAGAGCCUUUGAGAGAGGCCACGAUAGGCCGGACAGUGAGGCAGGCCACGAUAGGCCGGACAGUGAGGCAGGCCACGAUAGGCCGGACAGUGAGGCAGGCCACGAUAGGCCGGACAGUGUGGCAGAGAGGCAGGCCACGAUAGGCCGGACAGUGAGGCACGGCCCCGGCGGGCCACAGUGGGAACGGCCCCGGCGGGCCACAGUGGGAACGGCCCCGGCGGGCCACAAAAAGAAAGCCACGAAGGCCGCAGAGAAAAGGCCUAGCUAGCCCGCAGAGGAGGAUGUCCAAAUUGACCAUAGUGAGAAAGCCAAGAGGCCGUAGAAUGAAGUGAAAUGCUAUAUGCACAGAGAGGAAGGCCAUGUAAUUAGACCACGGUGGGAACACCACGAGAUGGGUAACAGAGGGGAAGGCUACGAAAGACGGGCCACAAAAAGAAAGAACAAGUUAAGCCACAGUAAUCAGAGGUUGUUGGGAGUAAUAUGAAGAGGAAUUGUACCACCACCAUUAUUUGCAUAUAGAUUACCUUGAGGACAGCUUGAUAUACCUUAAGAUGUUUAGUAUUUCAGAACGCUACAAGAGGCCGUAGAGAGUAUAGCUGCUAAGGCCAUGACGGAAGCCUGCGAGAGGCUGUGGAAGAGUAAAUGUAAUGAAUAGGUGUAACACCACCACCACCAGUAUUUGCUUAAUUUACCUUAAACACACGCAUUACAUUACGUUGAUGGGCAAUGUACUUUUCUUUAAGCUAUGUGAUGUGAAAGCCUUGUGUAGAUGACAACGAUAGACCAUUGUGUGUGAAAAACCAUGAUAAACUGGACAUGGGGAGCAUGUGAGAAGUAGUCACCGCCAGUAGUUUGCUAAGAGUAUUAUACUGUACCUUGAGCAUUACGUGAAUAAAGUCUGAUCUUGACGGACAUCCAAUGAGGAGGAUCAUGAACAUAGCAGCCUGAAGGCAAAUUACAGGAAUUCUAAACCACCUCACUGAGAAGGUGAUUAGGUUAAUUGAUAAGAGGUAGAAUUAGGGUUCUAGCAGACAUAAGAGCAUAUACACAGAUACAAUUCUUUAGGCUAGACUCCUGCGCACUCUUGAUAAAACUCCAUCUAACUGCCAGAAACUGCAGAGCAACCUAUCCUCCCCCCCCAAAAAAAAUAGAAAAUGAGCCAGAUCAGCAUGACCAUAAAAGAGAUACUCAAUUUAAGCAAAGUCGUUGUGACAUGUGAAGGCCACAAUAGGCCAAACUUCAUAACUGUAAUGGACACUGUCCCUGAUGACCAUCAUAGCAGAGUUAUGCAAAGUGCCUCAGCAGUCUGUGUAAGGUGAAGGCA
ensembl:lncRNA